GAGAACGUUCUAUUUCGUCGGCUAACCACAUCAAUUUGAAAUCUGGGAAAAAGGUUUUAAUUGCUUUAAACACCCAUCUUGUCAUGGAAAGAUCUAAAGGUGAAUUUAAACUGACAGAGGGAUGUUGCACUUUGACGGCAACCCAAACAUCUGAAUCUUUAAGUCUUGCUUUGUGAACUUGUGCUAAACUAGCUACACCAAGUGCAAUAGGAUCAAAUUCAUCGAACGUCUCGUCAAGACCUUUACCAGUGUCGACUCUGAAAAGGUGAUCUAUAUCCUUCAGACUAGUUGACGGACAACGAUCUUGUAAUUUCACCAUUGUAUUGGUCCAUUCCUAAAUAAUUAUACAUUAGAAAAUGAAAGGAAUAUAAUUUAUGAGAAUCAUCGUAGAAUAUCCAGAGCAGGGAUAAAAGGUGUCAAAACCUCAUCGAAGUCAAUCUAACUUACCUUUGGAAUUACAUAACCCAUAGCAGACAAAUGCUGCCCAAUUUUAAUAUAUAUACCUCCAUUCUCUUCAAAGACCUUUAAAGAUCUUUCUGCACAUCGCAAAUGGCAUUCACUCAAUGCUAGCUGACGCUCCUCUUCUGAAGCAUACGAAGAACCAAGUACUUUUUUGUAAUCAGAAAAGCAAAGAAAUCCAGCCAAAACAACACGAUAUGCUCUUUUAGAUGAUACACCUGCAUGCUUUACAGGAUCAAAGUCUACUAGCGCAACAGAUGCCAUUAAAGUAAUUGAAGCGCCAACAACAGCAGGUUUCUUAAAAUUAGUAUGCUCCCGAGCAUGGUGAGUAAAAGAAAUACAUGAUGAUUUCUUUUUUGGAUAUGAUCGGAAGCAACGAGUAAUUCUUGGCCAGGAAAACCGAGAAAACAUAUACUGUAGAGAGAAUUGAGGUGAGGUAUAAGAUGGAUAUGGACCAGAAACUUGCGAUUAUUUGACAUGAAGGAGCGAAGCCAAAAAUGCCAAUAAUUCUUUCUUUUUGAAUAAUUAUAUACUAAAACUUGGCUUGUUAAAACAUAGGAGUUCAUAUAAUCGGUUUAUAACAACAUUGUUUCUGUACGACUGCUCCUUCUUUUGCUUCAAUAUGCAAUCUUCUAUAAACUCGAUACCUAACUAAAAGUACAGAUCGGAAUUAAAAUUAGGUAGCAUACAUUUCUUAAAAAUUCUAGCUCGUAGUUCUACAAUGAGCCAGAGUGUGUGAGCUAUAUUAAAUUUCUAAGUUAUGUGUAGAUAGUUUUCAUUUUUUUUUUUUACGAAAAUUUUACUACAGGAAACUGUAGAAGUACUAUCUUAUUGAUAAUCUUGAUUAUUGAACAUUGAGUUCCCUAGUCAAAUACAAACAAUACACAAUUCAGCUUUUUUCUUCUUAUUUACAAACCUAGGAUAGGAAGUUUAAGAAUUUUAUUAAAUACAUUAUAUGAAAGCAACCUGACAAAAGUGAAAAAUACUAAUCCUUUCGUCCUAAUAUGGCCGUUUCAAAGAUUGGGUUUAUAUCUGGGAUUUAGAAGAAUUUAAAAUUGAAGCAUUAAUAUUUUGUUAUAACAAUGUCAAUAGUUGUCAGUUUCAAAAGAACUAUAAAUGUCACUUGAAAAUGAAUAUCAGUCAACAUACUGACAUUUCCAGAGAUUGAAGAGAGUACCCAUUGUAAAAUUUUGCUUUC